rnacentral:rRNA from 1 species
CUACGGGAGGCAGCAGCAAGGAAUUUUCGGCAAUGGGCGCAAGCCUGACCGAGCAACGCCGCGUGGAGGAUGACGGCCUUCGGGUUGUAAACUCCUUUUGCGGGGGAUGAUGAUGACCGUACCCCGCGAAUCAGGCUCGGCUAACUCUGUGCCAUCAGCCGCGGUAAGACAGAGGAGCCAAGCGUUGUCCGGAUUGACUGGGCGUAAAGCGCACGCAGGAGGUCGUGCACGUGGGGUGUGAAACCUGGCGGCUUAACCGCCAGACGCCACCGCAUACGGCGCGACUUGAGACUGGCAGAGGUUCGUGGAAUUGCCGGUGUAGUGGUGAAAUGCGUAGAGAUCGGCAGGAACACCAAGGGGGAAACCAGCGAACUGGGCCAUAUCUGACGCUCAGGUGCGAAAGCGUGGGGAGCGAACCGGAUUAGAAACCCCUGUAGUCC